rnacentral:misc_RNA from 1 species
UACGUAGGGGGCAGGCGUUAUCCGGAUUUACUGGGUGUAAAGGGAGCGUAGACGGUGAUGCAAGUCUGGAGUGAAAUGCAGGGGCCCAACCCCGGGACUGCUUUGGAAACUGUGUAGCUAGAGUACAGGGGGGGCAGGCGGAAUUCCUGGUGUAGCGGUGAAAUGCGUAGAUAUCAGGAGGAACACCGGCGGCGAAGGCGGCCUGCUGGACUGAAACUGACGUUGAGGCUCGAAAGCGUGGGGAGCAAACAGG